rnacentral:lncRNA from 1 species
AAAUUUUACUCCAAUCUAACUAGUAAAUUUUAAGAAAUCUUAAAAAACCUCACUAGACCUAAAAUUCUAUUUUCUAAGACCUUGAUCUAUUUAAAUCUCAAUAAUCCUCAAUUCAACCUUUAGAUGGAGCUAAAAUUCACAAUUCAUAUUAAACACAACUAUGACCAUCAACUCACAAAAUUUAACCUAUAGAUCUAUUACAAAACUCUCAAAAUUAUCCAAAAUAUCAAUCCUAUUUUAUUUCAUAAAAAUCCAAGUCAUCCAAAAUAAACUUGAUUUUGUAAAGCCCUUACAAAGUCAUUACAAAUCUAAAUCAC